UACCAGCACCCCGAGUGGUCGGGACGAUUAUUGGGCCUAAAGCAUCCGUAGCCGGCCUUACAAGUCCUCCGUUAAAUCCAGCUGCUUAACAGAUGGGCUGCGGAGGAUACUAUAAGACUAGGAGGCAGGAGAGGCAAGCGGUACUCAGUGGGUAGGGGUAAAAUCCGUUGAUCCAUUGAAGACCACCAGUGGCGAAGGCGGCUUGCCAGAAUGCGCUCGACGGUGAGGGAUGAAAGCUGGGGGAGCA
rnacentral:rRNA from 1 species